AUCGCUUCUCGGCCUUAUGGCUAAGAUCAAGCGUAGUAUUUGUUUAGGCCAGAUGAAUAAAAUUACAAUUCACAAAAUAACUGUCCAAUGUAGUAAAAUAAGCCCUAUCUGGCCUUGUGUCCUAACCCAAUGCAUACAUUUUCAUAGACUGUGUCCCUUU
rnacentral:snRNA from 1 species